CCUACGGGGAGCAGCAGUGAGGAAUAUUGGUCAAUGGGCUUACGCCUGAACCAGCCAAGUCGCGUGAGGGAAGACUGCCCUAUGGGUUGUAAACAUCUUUUGUCAGGGAGCAACGCCGACUACGUGUAGCCGGACUGAGAGUACCUGAAGAAAAAGCAUCGGCUAACUCCGUGCCAGCAGCCGCGGUAAGACGGAGGAUGCGAGCGUUAUCCGGAUUGAGUGGGUGUAAAGGGAGCGUAGGCGGAAAGCAAGGUCAGCGGGAAAAUAGCGGGGCUCAACCCCGCUCCGCCGUUGAAACUGGCGUUCUUGAGUGGGCGAGAGGUAUGCGGAAUGCGUGGUGUAGCGGUGAAAUGCAUAGAUAUCACGCAGAACUCCGAUUGCGAAGGCAGCAUACCGGCGCCCAACUGACGCUGAAGCACGAAAGCGUGGGUAUCGAACAGGAUUAGAUACCCUAGUAGUC
rnacentral:rRNA from 1 species